GGCGGGAAUUAAUGGAAGGAAUAAUGGCGCUCUAGACUCUGGAGUGAGAACUUAACGGUUUGGGUGAAAAAUGAGGAGCGACGAUUGCGAUUGGCGGAAGGAUAACAAGUGUUCAUCUGUAGAUGGACGCUUUCAAGCACCGAAUUGGAGGUAACUUUGGAGUGCUUUUACAUUUGGUUUGAUUUCAUCGGCGCCGCUCAGGCCACUACUUUCGCCGUAAGGUUUAUACACGCUUACAAGAAUCGGAGAAUAAGAAGCGUGGAUUAUUUGUAUCUCUGGUCACAGUGGCUACUACUUUCGUAACAUGCAAAAUGUUCUCUAUUGGGGAAGGAACAAAUAUAAGAGAACAUACGAUAGCUGGUCAGGUAAGGAUUCAGGGACAUAGAUUCCAACAGUUCCACCAAGAUGGUUGGUAUUGGAGAGCAUGUGACAAUAUCACAACACUAUUCUAUUUGAGGUCUGGACAGGUGAGCAUGUUGCUUUGAUAUUCUUUGCUAGUAUGAUAUCGUGUCGAUUAUUUAUGUUCCUUAAACUAUACCCAUUGAAGGUCUUACUGUCAUUAACGAGUAAAAACUAUACCAUUUUUGCUUUGUUUAUGGGUAUGAAGUUAUUGUUCCUGAAAGAAUACAAGAUGAUUAAUUGGACUUGAUUUGCUACGUUGUCUUUUUUUGUGGCAUAUUAAGAAAGUAAAUAAAAUUCACAGAUGUUGGAAUUAAGGUGCUCAUUUCCGUCGUUGAAUCAUCUGUAUAUAUUGCCAUUUAAGCAGCAACGGAAAUUAGGUUGUUUUUGUCAUUUAAGAAGAGGACGAAGUUCAUUUGUUGGUAGUGUGUUUUGAGACGUCUUCUUUACACGGAGUGUCAUAUUGUUCAUCAGUAACCCAUCAGAUUCAUAAGGUCAUUCUUUUAUUCCGAUCCAAGUUCAUAGGAUCAGGAUACUUAAAUGCUUUAACCCUUUAUUGUUGCAGACAGCAUUUCGAACUGAGGCAAAACAGAAUCACACAGAUCAGAACCAGGAAAUUAAAGGUGUAAUGGGAAACUGGAAUGCCUUAACCCUUUGCCAUGACUCUUGAAGAUGGCAGGUGAGUUAAAAAAAUGUUUUUAUUCUCCCAUUAGAAAAUGAGUUUCUGGAUUAAUUUCGUCAUAGGUAGGCUUUUUCCAUGCCUAUUUAGGCGGCAUAAAUUUUAUUAUUUUUUAAAGAUGAAUUAACCAUUGAGAAUGAUGAGUGCAUUAAUCUAGCCUCAACCUGGUUAUAGUUUGUUUGAGAAUGCAACUAAAAAUAGGUAGUACACUAUUGGAGCUAGAACGUGAUAGUGGCUAGGCAUAUUUCUGUUGUUCUGCCUUCUUCCCUGCUAAUAGUGUCGUCAAUAGACUCCUCAUUGACCAUAACUUAAAGAAACGAGUUCUAAUGGAGCUAGAACCUGAAGGGAAGGAAAUACACCGGUGCUUUAUUGAGUGAUGUCUAAAACACAGCCGUAUGAUCUUACCGUGGGAGUGACUUUGCCCCUCCCAAUCAUGUCCUUAUAGAGCGUAGUCAAUAUUUUGUUUUUGAAAAUUAAGUCUAAAUGUCAUUCCACUUCUUAUGGGUUUAUUUGUUUAUUUUUAUUUAUUUAUUAUUUUUUUGUUAUCCACAUUUUACAAAACCAAAUACAACUUUUGAAACUAAAAGCAGAUCAGCACAUUCUUAGUAAAGAUAUGAAUUCGGAACCUGCAUCCGAUGAGAUUUGUUUCUUAUUUAAUUGAUUUCAAAUUUCCAUUCCUUAUUUGUGGAUUUGCUUAAGUUUUGUAGAGUUUGACGUCUUGAGAAUAACUUCCGAACUGGAGGAAAACUAGGUUUAGG